rnacentral:tRNA from 1 species
GGAGCAGUGUCUGAGUGGUUUAAAGUACCCGUCUCGAAAACGGAUGUACCAAGUUAUAUAUGGUACCGGGGGUUCGAAUCCCUCCUGCUCCG